CUUCUGUGUUUAUUUACUUAUUUAUAAAUACUUUGAUGUUUCAGGAAUGUCUCAAAAAAUUCUCAGAAUCUACAGUUUAUCUGGCUGCAUUUCACAAGAAUCUUCACUGCUACUGGAUUUAGAGGAGAUUUUGAAGAGUAUGAGCUGUGGCUUCUACUGAGAUUACUAUGAACUUCAAACGCUUGGGACUACUGCAGUUAGAUUAUUCUCCAGAAAUAUUCAAUCCCCUUAAAAUAAAUGAAUAAAUAAAUAACUGGUUUUUAUUAAA
rnacentral:lncRNA from 1 species